UUGCGACUGAGAGGAGGAGCCCAGGCAUGUAGCUCCGCCUCCAUCGGGUGGCGGAUUAUCACAGGCCCUGGUACGCUGUUUCCUCCCCGAUGUGCACGCAGACCAAACUCCCCAGCAGGACCACGACCCAUCUGUUCCUGUUCCUGUUGGCAGAAUGCAACAGACGGUCAUCCAAUUAAAAUGUCAACAUGACGAUAGAUCACAUUUAAUUCGACGGGUGUCCUCGCAUGCUUCUCCUUGGUAGCCCGGCUUACAGAUGCAGCUGCAGGACGUCCCGGCGAGCACGGGGAUCCCGUUGUGCCUGCAGCGGGCGCAGCGGCAAGAGCUGAACUGCUGCUCAUACUCCUCCAAUCCCCUCUGCAGGUUGGCCAGUCUGGCUCCAACUUGAUCAGAAACUGUGCUGAAUCUCACAAGCUCAUGGAUUGGCAUAAUCUGGCUCGGAGACAGAGGUUUCCCCGACGCUUCAGAAUAUCAAGUCGAGCAUUCGUCUUCUUCUUUUUUUAACAACACCAAUAUUGUGGACCACGUAAACAUAGAUGCAGAAAUCAUUUCUUGAAACAUCUAGUGACCUGUCACCCUCUAUAAUUUUCAUUGUUUUUGCAAUUGCUAUGACAUUAUGUUUCAUAACUGAUGUUUCCUUAGCAGGUUGUUUGAGCGUUUCUCAACACACACAUUUUAUUUUAUUUUUUUUUCAAUUUUAAAAUCUAGGGGUCUUACCUCAUGUUCAACGACUGUCGGGUUGUACUUAAGGCUUGCCCCCCACUUGCGAUAGGUGUCAGGAUCUCUGAUGACCAACAAGGCGCUGCUGGUGUCUGUGUAGCCGCCCUUCACCAGCGUGAGAACGUCUUUAAUCACAGCUGAACCACUGCUUGUGACUUUAGGUAAAAGUACAGAAAUAACCUUGUUGUUGUUGCUGUUGUUGUUUUUAAAUCAUUGUUGUUUUAAUUACAGCGACAAAAGCUCAAUAAAUGUUACAAUCCUAUGGUACUUGAA